rnacentral:rRNA from 1 species
GACGAACGCUGGCGGCGUGCUUAACACAUGCAAGUCGAACGAAGUGGCGAACGGGUGAGUAACGCGUAAUCAACCUGCCCUUCAGAGGGGGACAACAGUUGGAAACGACUGCUAAUAACGCAUACUGACGGCGGGGAUGGCGUCUGAUUAGCUAGUUGGAGGGGUAACGGCCCACCAAGGCGAUGGUCAGUAGUCGGGCUGAGAGGAUGAACGGCGACAUUGUGAUUGAGACACGGCCCAGACUGCUACGGGAGCCAGCAGGGGGGAAACGUCCGCAAUGGACGAAAGUCUGACGGAGCAAGGCCGCGUGAGUGAUGACGGCCUUCGGGUUGUAAAGCUCUGUUAAUCGGGACGCGGUACCGGAAUAGAAAGCCACGGCUAACUACGUGCCAGCAGCCGCGGUAAUUC